CCGGAAAGAGAACACCUUCCCUCAGUCUCUUUCAGGAUUCAGAAGAGUAUUAAUGGUCACCGAGUGAGACUAUCCUUUUCCAUAUUGUAGCUGACAGUAGAGAGGUUAUCUAUUUUACUACCUAUGACCUAAUAUAUAUCUGCCUGGAGCCUUGGUGGGAAGCUGAAGUCAAGAAGGAGCCAUCACCCUUGGGGGCAGCCACCUCUUUGCAGAACCCUAGGACUCCAGCAAUAGAAGUCAAGCUGGAACUUAAGACUGGGCAUAGCGGCACACACUUGUAAUCCCAGCACUUUGGGAGUUCAAGAAGGGUGGAUCACUUGAACUCAGGAGUUGGAGAGCAGUCUGGGCAACAUAGCAAAACCCCAACUCUACAAAAAGUACAAAAAUUAGCCAGCUGUGGUGAUGGGUGCCUGCAGUCUCAGCUACUCAGGAGGCUGAGAUAGGAAGAUCCACUUGAGCCUGAGAGGUUGCAGUGAGCGGAGAUCAUGUCACUGCAAUCCAGCCUCGGUGACAGAGUGAGACCCUGUCUCAAAAAAUAAUAACAAUAAAAUUAAAUGAAUGUGCACCAACAGUUCUCUAGUCAUUUCAGUAGCAGAAUA
rnacentral:lncRNA from 1 species